ACACCAAACCAAGCAUGACCAUCUAAUGAUGGAAGACGGUUUGGAAACCGCGGUAAUACUAAAAGUUUGAUGUAGUCGAUCACACCAGAUCAGUCUACAGUCAAACGAUCUUACUUAAUCUUUUAUUUUGGGUAAUGAACGAUCAUCCUUAAUUUAGACGUUAAUGGAUAGGAUCAGGGUGUGCUCCAGCGUAUCAUAUUUGUACUGCGCGCCUUUAAAAACGGGGGGAAGAUCCCAAUUUGGACUUCAGAGCCUCUCAGAGUUAAAGCUAAUUCUCGCAAGUCGCAGAAGGAGGAAAACAUCAAAAUUUUAUGGAUACCAAAGUACCUGGCAACAAGUAUUCUCAGGAGCUGGCCCGUGAGUCGCUUAUUGCUAUCUCACAGUGCAUACCAGACACAGUUCUUGCUUCACAACUCACAACUGAAUCAAACAGUACAAAUGCAUUUGAUCUGAAAGAAAGUGACGCAGCUGAAAAUUAUAGGUCUAAGCUGAUCUCUAUUUCAUACACAGAUAUUAAAAACUCUCCAAAUGCAUUGGGGAAUGCUGAGGUUUAGCUGGGAUUAGCAUUCUCUUUGAUGGAAACUACUUGUAAUAAUUAAAUUUUGUCGUUUGUUUUUUCCUAGAACUACUUGUGUUAAGUGGAUGGUUCUACUGUCAAAGUCUGUUUGAUGCUUUGUAUACUUCUAAUGUCAACAUAAUCAUCAGAGAAAUAAAAGUUGGUUAAUCUUGUAUACU